AUCAGCAGCUGCCGUGAGCAGCCCUGGCACCGAGCAACCCGCCGCCACAUCACAUCUCCUCCCCUGCCCAGAGCUCUUCCGUGCUGCCACCACUCUGCACAGCCCCUCCGUGCCAGGCAUGAGGGGCUGCUCCUGCUCGCCCUGCACCCCGUGCGCGGAACACUCAUUAACUCCCGACCUCCAGCUCCACACGCCCGGGCUGGCGGCGCCUUCCCGGGGGGGCCGGGCCUGCAAAGCCGCCGCGGAGCAAGGGUGAGAGCCGGACGGGCCGGGCAGCGCCAUGGCAGCUCCGUGCUACCUAGGCUGGGAUUUCAGCACGCAGCAGCUGAAAGUCAUUGCUAUCGAUGAGCAGCUGAGAGUAAUUUAUGAGGAUAAUGUUCAUUUUGAUAAAGACCUUCCGGAAUUCAAGACUCAAGGUGGAGUCUAUAUUCACAGUGACAGGCUGACAGUCACUUCUCCUGUGCUAAUGUGGGUCAAGGCUCUGGAUAUGAUUUUGGAAAAGAUGAAGUCUUCAGGCUUUAACUUCUCUCAAGUCAGAGCUUUGUCUGGUGCUGGCCAGCAACAUGGGAGUGUGUACUGGAAAAAAGGAAGCAUGCAAAUUUUAAGGAAUGCAUCAGCUGAACUGCCUUUACAUCAGUCACUACAGGCUUGUUUUUCUGUCAGUAACAGCCCUAUAUGGAUGGAUUCUAGCACAGCUUCCCAGUGCAGCACUUUGGAGAAAGCCGUGGGGGGAGCACAGCACCUAGCAAGUAUCACUGGUUCUCGAGCCUAUGAGCGUUUUACAGGAAACCAGAUAGCAAAGAUUUAUGGCCAGAAUCCUGAGGUCUACAUGGAAACUGAGAGAAUCUCUUUGGUUAGUAGUUUUGCAGCUUCUCUUUUCCUAGGAGCUUAUGCACCUAUCGAUUACAGUGACGGUUCUGGUAUGAACUUGUUGCAGAUUUGGGAAAAGGUGUGGUCAGUAUCCUGCCUUGAUGCUUGUGCACCUGGAUUAAAGGAGAAACUAGGAUGCCCUGUACCAUCCCAUUCAGUGCUGGGGCCCAUUUCUCCAUAUUAUAGUCAGCGUUAUGGCUUUAGCCCUGAUUGUAAAGUGGUAGCAUUUACAGGAGACAAUCCAGCAUCAUUGGCAGGGAUGAGACUUCAAGAAGCAGAUAUUGCAAUUAGCCUUGGCACAAGUGACACAUUGUUUCUGUGGAUCCAAGAACCAACUCCUGCCUUAGAAGGUCAUAUCCUCUGCAAUCCUGUUGAUUCUCAAACAUAUAUGGCACUUUUAUGUUUUAAGAACGGCUCUCUGAUGAGAGAGAGGGUCAGAGAUGACUGUGCUUCAGGCUCCUGGGAUGAAUUCUCCAAAGCCUUAUCAUCUACUGUUGCUGGAAACAAUGGAAACUUGGGUUUCUACUUUGAUGUGAUGGAAAUUACUCCUGAAGCAGUUGGGAUUCACAGAUUCAACAAAGACAACCAAAAGGUUUCAGUCUUUCCAAAGGAGGUGGAAAUACGAGCAUUGAUUGAAGGGCAGUUCAUGGCCAAGAGGAUUCAUGCUGAAAAGCUGGGAUAUAAAGUCAAUUUCAGGGGAAAUCAUUCAGUAACACCCUGUAUCCUGUUUUGCUUAUGUGCUUAAGGGGUGGAUAGAGGAUUGAGAUCUAGAAACAAACAAGUGAAGUUUGGUCUGUCCCUGUUGUUUACAUCCUCCGAUUCAGAGAUUCAUGCAGAUAAGGUGGUAUUUUCUUCUGAUGCUAUUUCCAGCAGGUUGAAGGUAGUAAUAAUGUGUGGCGCUUUGUCUGCAGGGAAGGCAGUGUGAUGGAGCAAGGGAAGCUCAGAAAAUAUCUCUUAGUAUAAUAUGGUGUGAUUGAUUUUCAUUGUUCAUGAUGUCACACAGAAUCACAGAACCCGAAGGGGAGGCAUGGGGCUGUCAAUUCAGAGCAAAGUGUUGGUCCAUUGGAGGAUGAACUGGCUUUCCAGUUUGGCAAAGCUAGAUAGCACUGAUCCUUGGGACACUUUGGAGAUGGCUUUGUGUCAGGCUAUGAGACAGGUUUUUCUGCUGGUAGUUGUCUUUGACUGGCUUCAGUGACUGUAGUCUCCAUAGUCUUAUGAAAUAUCAAGAAUGUUGGGGUACUUGUUCCGUCGGUUGUCCUUACCUUCACCACUAAGUGUGCUUCUACUCCAGUUGUAGCAGUGUUCUGGCUGAAAACUGUGAGGCCAUUUUGUAGUUGCAUACAGAUUAAAUUGAUGUUUAUGCCCUGCGGGAUUUAAAUUUCUUGGAGAAAUCAAUACUAAAAUGUUGUGUUGGCUUCGUGCUUGUCUCUUGCUGUUUGCUGCUAAGAGUGCUGAUGUUGUUUCAGCAGCAUGAGGGUGAUGGCUUUGUUAGGGGCCUUUUGCUUCAGCAAGUGAAUGAAAACAGUUUAAAAAUAAUUAGAGGACAGAGCCCUUGGUGAGAAAUUGAAGUCCUUUGUUCACAAUAAUAACGAAUAAUGGUAUAGGUCAGAUUGGAACAUAUAUGAACAGAGAUGGGGCAGAGAGUACCGCUUGGCAUGCAAUACAAACAGACCAUAAAUAUGCCUUGCCAUUAGAUCUUGAGCCUGUAUUUUUGAGGGAGGAGUGUUGGCUUAAGAAGGACUUUCAAAUUCAUCAAAGUCAGGAUCUUCCUCCCAGAUAAGUUAGUGAUUCUGCUGCAGAGGAUAUUUGUAUUUUCUGAUGAAAGUUCCGGCUGAUAAGAGUGCCAGUGUGAGAUGGGCAAUACCUUGCCAAGAACUUGACUGUAUCCCCUCUUAUUUUCCACAAAGCAUCAGACUGCUAUCACAUAGCAGAGCCUUCCAGGCACGAUCAAGCAACGCUUGGUUUUAAGCCAGUGAUCUGGAGUGAAAGGAAACACAGUGAAGACAGAAAAUCUGAAGAGUUAAUAAAAAGAUUGGAGAAGGUGCUCUGAUCCAAAGAGAUUGUUCAUGUUAUAGAAGGGCUGGACUUGAGUCUCUUACAGUGGCCUUCAGCACAUCAGUGCUAUUCCGACUUGGAAAAUCUAAGGAGUGUAUGAAAGAACACAAGGAAAAAAGUUUGCUUGAAACUGAAAUUGUCUUCUUCCGACUGCGCUUACAGUGAUUGUACAGCAUCAGGCAGACUUAAAGUAAAACUAAACUCAGGUGUACCUGCUGAGCAUUGUACAUCAAUUACUACUCAAGUAGAAAGUGAGUUUAAAAGUGGCCGCUUCUCUACCACUUAUGUUGGUUUUAAAGUAUUUGUCUUCCGUUUGACAAUAUUUAAACUUAAGAAAUUUCUGAAAAGUGGAAAUUUGAAAUUAAAAAUAGAGUAUAUAUAUACAUACAAAGGGAGGUUUUGUGAUGUUUUUAUUUUUGAUAGUGUCUGAAAGUGAAAUACCGUAGAGGAUACCUCUACGGCAGAUAACUGAACUUGUAAAUCUUUAUCUUUAAUGUUACUAAAGUGUGACUUAACUCUCAGUGUUUCACCUCUGUGUGUGCCUAUCUCGGUUGACUCUUCUGAAAUGCGUAAUUAUUAGCUGUUUUCAGAAGUUCUGGUAGAUGGAAGUUCAGUUAUGCACGGUUUGUAGAAACCAGCUAGCAUCUUUAUAAAACAUAAACCUGUGUGCCUUUGUGUUUCCACUUUUGCAGCAACACUGAGUGGAAAGAAUGGCUGCAUUGGAAUUUGAAUGAGCUGAAUGCUCUGUCUCAAAAACUCUAUGAGAAGGUGUUUGCUGUGCGCAAACACACAGUAUUGAAUUCUUUCUUUUUACAAGGCAACAAUGUUACCCAAGAUAGCAAUUCUAAACAGUGUGUAUUCAUUACAGAAGUAGAAGCAAAUGGCAGUAUUAUUUUGGAAAACAAACUGACUUGGAAAUAUGCUCGAUUUCCUUAGCUUAAAGUUAGUAGCCAGAGUUUCAGUGUACUUAUCUAUCUAGUCAAUGUACUUCAUCAUUGAAUGCAACGUUCUUCACUUUUGUGUGUUUUCCUGUCAUGUUUUCAAUAUGUUAAGAUCACUUCUGUUACAUUUCAAAUAUUGACUUUGUUGGUAGAGGAGUUUGGAUCCUAGGGGUAUCCAUGUGCUGAAGGAAUGCAUCUGGGAACUGUAUUCCAGCACAUCCUUGGCUGACUUCUCUGUGUUUCCAGCAUUGGGUCACUCAGUUCCUUCCCUCACCAUCGCUAGUAUCUAGUACCAAACAGGUAAAUCUCAGUAUUUAUCUGUACAUAGCUAUUUCCAUGUGUGCAUCUCAAGAAGUAAUUAUGGAGAGCUGGAGGGCACUCAGCAUUGUUUCAAACUGGCAAAGUAUUUCUGUGCUGUCGGUGGCCAACUAAAACCUACAAAACAGCAGAAAAUAAUAUAUAUUGGCCUGUGUAGCAGCAGCACUGUGAGUAGCAUUGGAAUUAAAGUGGUCACAGAGCUGGAGGGAUGAUGAACGAUAUUUUCAAAAGCAUUCACUCUCUUCACUCAAGGUGCUCUUGAUCUUUUCCCUCUGUGUUUAUUCUGGUCAAAAAUGAACUUUUUGUUAUUUUGAAGUGGUUCUAAUUAUAAUGGUUAUACAAAUGUACAAGUGGAGAGCUUCAUGAGUAAUCUCUUCAAAUUAAGUGCACUUCUAGUAAAGUGAUUUAAGUUUACCUGCAAGUGAACACUUGUGCUGGAGAGUGAUACAAAGCUUCAUAUAUCAUAUCUGAUUUUUGUCUGUGAACAUAAAAGCCUGGUACCCACUGAAAUGCAGGUGAACAUCUGAAGCCAUUGUUUUUAAGUAUGAUAUGUUAGAAUAAAAAAUUGCUGGCAAACGCUCAG